rnacentral:rRNA from 1 species
AACGUAGGAGGCGAGCGUUAUCCGGAUUUACUGGGCGUAAAGCGCGCGCAGGCGGCUUCGUUAGUCGGAUGUGAAAGCUCCUGGCUUAACUGGGAGAGGCCAUUCGAUACUGCGGGGCUUGAGGUUGGGAGAGGAGUGUGGAAUUCCCGGUGUAGUGGUGGAAUGCGUAGAUAUCGGGAGGAACACCUGUGGCGAAAGCGACACUCUGGCCCACACCUGACGCUGAGGUGCGAAAGCGUGGGUAGCAAACAGG